rnacentral:rRNA from 1 species
UACGUAGGUGGCGAGCGUUGUCCGGAUUUACUGGGCGUAAAGAGCGCGCAGGCGGCUGGUCAAGUCCGAUGUGAAAGCUCCCGGCUUAACUGGGAAAUUGCAUCGGAAACUGAUCGGCUGGAAGGUGGGAGAGGGUAGUGGAAUUCCCAGUGUAGUGGUGAAAUACGUAGAGAUUGGGAAGAACACCAGUGGCGAAGGCGGCUAUCUGGACGGUUUCUGACGCUAAGACGCGAAAGCGUGGGGAGCAAACAGG